AGCUUUGCACAGUGGAAGUAUCAUAGCUAAUUAGGUUUAUAUGAGGCAAGAUUAUUGCAAAUUGAAAACUUUUCCUAAUACCCUGCC
ensembl:snRNA U4 U4 spliceosomal RNA